AAAAAAAAAAAAAAAAAAAAAAAAAAAAAAAAGAACCCACUGCAGCAGCAAAUGUUAUCCCUCUCCACCCCCCACACCAGGAGCAGGUGCAGUUUUCCUCCCUGGCUCUUCCAGAUGACCACGGGUGACACAGUCUGGGUCGCGGCAGUGGGAGGACACGAGGGGGCGUGGCUUGGAGCCACCUGGGGCCAGGGAAGCUCGGGUUUGGAGCCUGGUUGGCUUAGGUUAGCAGUCAGCUCUCGCACCCUGGUAGCCAGCCGGGCAUCUCUCAAUUAAAAGCACAUGUCUACCUCCCCGAGACUUGGGGAGUAACCUGAGCCUAGCUGGGGUUCAGGCGUGAAGGCGUUAAUCUUCGCUCUUUCCCCAGUCAACUCCCACGCAGGAUGUCAGUCAAAUAGGUCUCGCGAGAGUAAGGGAAAAAAAAAAAAAAAAAAAAAAAAGGUAAGGCUUUUUAAUUAACCCCGCCUUCAGCUCGAUUUGUUCCUAAGCAACGACGCCACCAAGCUCCACUUGAGUCGUCGGGUCUGGGAGCCCGCAGCCCUAGGCGAUCACAGAUCCUCCCCGAGGCAGCCCAGCCUCCCCAGGAGCCCGCCUGUGGCCCUGCAGGUGCUCCAUUGGUCCAGCCUGCCUCCAGGUGCCUCCUGAAGAACUACCAUGUCUGGGAAUUCAUCUUCCACAGAACACAGAAGCAGCAGCAGCAGCAACUGUAAACCUCAUACCUCAAACCUGCGGAAGGCAGGGAAGAAAUGCUCAUGGGCUUCCUACAUGACCAACUCCCCAACUCUCAUUGUUAUGAUUGGUUUGCCAGCCCGGGGUAAAACUUAUGUGUCCAAGAAACUAACACGCUACCUCAACUGGAUUGGGGUACCCACCAAAGUGUUUAAUCUUGGGGUAUAUCGGCGUGAAGCAGUCAAGUCCUAUAAGUCUUAUGACUUCUUUCGUCAUGACAAUGAAGAAGCUAUGAAGAUCCGCAAACAGUGUGCUCUGGUAGCACUGGAAGAUGUUAAGGCUUAUUUUACUGAAGAGAGUGGGCAGAUUGCGGUGUUUGAUGCUACCAAUACCACUCGGGAGAGGAGGGACAUGAUUUUGAACUUUGCAGAGCAGAAUGCCUUCAAGGUAUUCUUUGUGGAAUCUGUCUGUGAUGAUCCUGAUGUCAUUGCUGCCAAUAUUCUGGAGGUAAAGGUGUCAAGCCCUGACUACCCUGAAAGGAAUAGGGAGAAUGUGAUGGAGGACUUCCUGAAGAGAAUUGAGUGCUACAAAGUCACUUACCAGCCCCUUGACCCAGACAACUAUGAUAAGGAUCUGUCUUUCAUCAAGGUGAUAAAUGUAGGUCAGAGAUUUCUGGUCAACAGAGUCCAGGACUACAUCCAGAGUAAAAUUGUCUACUACCUUAUGAAUAUCCAUGUCCAGCCUCGCACCAUCUACCUUUGCCGGCAUGGAGAGAGCGACUUCAAUCUUUUGGGAAAGAUUGGGGGUGACUCUGGCCUUUCACUUCGAGGAAAGCAGUUUUCUCAGGCUCUGAAGAAGUUUCUGGAGGAACAGGAGAUCCAGGACCUCAAAGUGUGGACAAGCCAGUUGAAGAGGACUAUUCAGACUGCUGAGUCCCUUGGGGUGACCUAUGAGCAGUGGAAGAUCCUAAAUGAGAUUGAUGCUGGCGUGUGUGAGGAGAUGACAUAUUCAGAGAUUGAGAAACGGUACCCCGAGGAAUUUGCACUUCGAGAUCAAGAGAAGUACCUGUAUCGCUAUCCUGGUGGGGAGUCAUACCAGGACCUGGUGCAGCGACUGGAGCCUGUCAUCAUGGAGCUGGAGCGUCAGGGCAACAUCCUCGUCAUCUCCCACCAAGCUGUCAUGCGCUGCCUCCUGGCCUACUUCCUGGAUAAAGGCGCAGAUGAGUUACCAUACUUGAGGUGUCCUCUCCAUACCAUCUUCAAACUUACACCUGUGGCCUAUGGUUGCAAAGUGGAAACAAUUAAACUCAAUGUGGAGGCUGUGAACACACAUCGUGAUAAGCCAACUCACAACUUCCCCAAGAACCAAACCCCUGUAAGGAUGAGAAGGAACAGCUUUACGCCUCUGUCCAGUUCGAACACAAUAAGGCGUCCAAGAAAUUACAGUGUUGGGAGCCGGCCCCUCAAGCCCCUCAGCCCUCUCCGUGCCCUGGACAUGCAAGAAGGGGCGGACCAGCCGAAGACCCAAGUCAGCAUUCCGGUGGUGUAAUUGUGUGUUUCCCUCCAGCUUUGGCCUCUUGCCCUUGCCACUAAUCAACCAAGAAUUCAUUUAACUUUACCCCACUCCUGUCCCAACAUUAAUCUGAACAUGGAAUAUAAGCUCAUGCGUGUGCAGAGCAGCCUUAGCCAUUCUCUAGUGUAAACACCUCAGCCGGGGGCAAGAUGGCAAGUUGGGUCUUUUUAGGACAGCUUCCCAGAUGGGAUGGUCUGAAGGAAGAGGAGCCAAGCAUGAGUCAUGGACUUGGUUCUUCUGUUUCCUCAUGUCUGAUCCACUAAUGUCUCUGUGAAGUGUGUGUGGGGGUGGGUGGAGGGUAAUUUGGGGGGAGUGCUGAAUAGAGGGAGAUACAGAAACCCAUUUGUCCUUCACCUAUAUCCUUUCAAUCUGUCGUUACACUCCUUACUUAACUUUCAUGUCUUCUAGCUUCUUUGGGUUGUCUGGUUUGAUGCAUGGCAUUGUGGUAUUGUAAAGUAAGGGAUGGUUGAUAGGAGCCUAAGCCUUAUUGGUGCUGCCUGCAAAUGGGUCUGCAUCUGCACUGGGAGAGUCUUUUCCCUUCCCUUCUCCCUUCCUCUCCAGCCAGGUCCUGCAAGGGUCAGCCCAGGCUACAGAACAUCCACAGAAAGCCCUGGACUUUGCAAGUGGACAUAGGGUGAGAGCUCUCACCUCUUUUCACGAGAAACAAUCCUAAGUUUUUGUAGUACUGGGGAGCUGGCUCUAAGGAUGUGGACAUGUUUUGAUUUGUGUUACCAAUGCAAGGAGCCAGACAGUCCUUUGCUGGCUGUGGAGUGGGGCUGUGGAUAGGGUGAAGUCUAGUUCUUACAAAUUCCCAGUUCAGACUUUUUGUCCUGUGGCUCUCAGUUUCUUGGCUGUUCCAGUAGCUUUCCUGUCGCACGUGACCUUUGGGGCUGUUUAAAAGCACCAGGAUCCACCAUUAAGCCCUGAAUUUCUCCAGGCAAAAGGGUGGUUAAUAAAUUCAGUAAAGCCACUCAUUUCUUAGCAAUACUUUUUAGAAUAGUUUCCUUAAGCCAAGUUUUUACAUGAAAAUUACUUUUUGAGCAUAAAAUUUUGAUGAUGAAUUUAACCUCUCUUAUUGGGGAGUUCUGUUUAUAUUGAGAAACUAUCUCAGUAUUCCAAGGAGUCUCCUGAGGUUUGGCUCUUGGAAGUUUAUAUGUGUAUCUAUUGUUUGCUUUAAGGUGAUUCUCUCUGCAUUGGCCCAGGGUCUUGUCCUCUGAGCUCAAUACCAGUCCACUCAUGUCCCCUCUUCUAAGGGACAGUUUUAAAGGUCUCAGGAGAUUUUUCAGAAGAGACAGGUGACUCCUUACCUCUCAGUUUGUCAUGUGGGGCCAACUGGUGAGAGAAGGUUAGCAAUUUUCUAUGAGACUUUGUCUUGUGACAGAAAGCUUUUUGCAUGGUUCUUAUCCAGAAACAGUCCUUAGACUGUGCUGUAUAAUUUUUGAAAUAUAUACAUGCCUGGGGUUCCCAUGAGUCAGGCUGAGUACUGCCUUAAAAUCUCUGGGAUUGGAGCCUAGAUAAUUGGGUGUUUAAAUUGUGUCCUUAGUGGUCAACCCACUAAGAGUCAGUUCCAGGUCAAUAAGGCCACUUGAGGGGAUGGAGAGAUGUCUCAAGCCAUUAAGAGCACUUGCUGCUCUUCCAGAGGUCCAGAGCUUGUCUCCUAGCAUUCAUGUAACUCUAGCUCCAGGGGAUCUGAUGCUCUCUUCUGGGAUCCCCAGGUACUUUCAUAUAUGUAGCUCAUAUACACAUAGACACACAAAUACAACCUGUAAAACUAAAGUUAAAUCUUUUUUUAGGAUCCCACUUUAUGAAGCUGUAAGAAAUUAUGUCAGUAUAUUGGUAUCUUAGACAAAGUAUGUAUCAGACUGGGAAUUCUGAAUUCUUGGUUCUGAUGCUGGGGCUGAACACAGGCUGCUUUGUUAGAAAGGUAUUCAGGGUUCUGGUUCCAUCUUUUCCCUUGGCAUUGCAGGGGAAUGUGCAGCAUUACUGCACUUAAACACAUAUCCUUGGAUCCACACUGAGAACUCAUGCAAGGUGAUAGAGACAGAGCACGUGGACUGAUGGAGGUCAUCAUUACAGGCUGCUGACUUCUGGUCUAGAGGCCUCUACCCUUCCAUCCCAUAUAGAAUACUUAAGCCAGUUUCACAGGCUGCCUAGGUUCUUGAAACAUCCAAGACAAAGAAAGUGGGAACUUCUUUUAGGUAGUAUUCAUUUUCCCCUCUUGACCUUUGUUUAUGGGCAUUGGCCUUGGUAAGGAAACAUGCAAAAAGACAAUUUUUUUUUCAAUUUCCUUAGCCUGGAGAUUACAAACAUAUAUGUGUGUUUAGGGCUGACCAAUUAGGAUUAGGUAACCUAUCAGGGUCUUAUUCCUGGAGAAGACAAAGUCUCCCUCUCUCAGCAGCCAUUGAUUGCUGUUGGCUCUUCAUCUAGAGUAGGUUUUUUAUUCAUACAUAUGUGUAUAUAUGUAUAUGAAUACAACAAUAACUAGAAGAAGAGAUUAUGAACUUGAAAGAGUAGGGGAAAUUUUGGAGGAGUUGGAUGGGGACCAGGAGGGCCAGAAUACUACUCAUGUAUGAAAUAUUAAAAAUAAAAUUAAAAAAGACAGAAGAUGUAACUGAUAAAUGAAUAUUUCCAAAGAAUCAAACAGUCUAGAAGAGCUGACGCUGGAUAGAGUAUAGCCUGUCUUCUGACUGUUUUUUUAUUCUGUGGCUGUGAGACCCACAAAGGUUUGAGAUAUCCUCUCCUCACAGUGUGAGGAUGAGAUGAGGCCUGGGCAGUAUGUCUGGUACUUUUGCAUUAUUCCCUUGUCUACUGUAGUUAUUAGCAGCUCUGUUCUAAAUUGCUGUUCAGUCCUUUCUUCUGCUGCCAGGUAAGAGUAAUUCAGAGAGAUUGAGUGGGAGGAGGAAGAACCCUGAUCCAAUGGCUAAGGUUAUAAGAGGAGACUUGGCUGACCACCUGGAACUGAGCUAGCCUGUUGUAAAUACCAUCUGUAAAGGGGUUCACUGGAUGAUCAUUCUGACUCUCAGUCUAUACUCACUCUUCUAGUUUCCUGUGUUAGUUCACUUCUUGUAUAAGAAGAGCUGAGGUAGUUUUAUUAUCCUUGGAUAACAAGGAGUGGAAGUUGGAGCUGAAAAGCAGCAGGGGUUUCAACAUCCUUCACCUUUUAGAGCAAGAUCCUUCAGAGGAGCUGAGCAGGAGAAGCAGAGUGGAAAGUGCUUAUUCCAGAGUUAAGGGAAGUUCCACUUCUCAUUUUCCCCCUUUCCCUUUGUUACUUAUGGGUGGGAAAUUACCUUGCUGUGUGUCUGUGUAACAAGCUUACAAAUGGUGACUUGUGGUGCCCUGUAUUGAGGCUUUCAGUUUUGUUAUGGAGGGUAUAGGUGAAGGCUUGAAUCUACUUAUGUGAAUUAUACCUGUGUAAAAUAGAAGAGAACGUAAUAUUCUGUAUGUAUGUUAUUUAUUUAUUUUAAACUCAAAGCUGAAUGGAAGAUGAAACUCCGAAGAAUGGUGGGAGGGGUGCUGGAAAUGUAGCUCAGUGGUAGAGUACUUGCUUAGCAUAUAGGAGGCCCUGGGUUCAAUCCCCAGUACUGGGGAAAACAAAACAACUACUACUGGAUGAGAAAGUCAGGAAAUGGAUUUGAGAGAAGAAUGUAAAGGAGAUUUAGAGAACCACUACUGGCCUAUCUUCUUUCCAAACUAGAAUUUAGCACUUACUGAUCAUUGGUAAAGGAACCAUUUCAUUUGUUUUUAGAUAUGCAUUAUGCUGUGUGCUUACCACUCUUCCUGAGUCCUAAGAAGUCAAGUUAGGGAAGCAGCAUGUGUGUUCCUGGACCAAAUGGUUGAAUAUUUCAGGCAAGGAUCUGAGAAGUGGAGAAUGUGCUGGCUGAGCAUAGACGCCCCUCAAUGGCAUCCCUCACAUUGCUCUCCUGAUGGUGUGAGGCUGAGGUCAGACCUCCCCGAGGAACUGGAUCUACUAAAAAGCCUGGGAUGCCAGCAUCACUGAGGCUAGAACAGGAAAUUAAGUGGGAACUUCUCAUUUGAGGCUAUCAGAAGUGAGGCCUGGAAAAACCUUGACUGCAUUUCUUCCCCUCAUGCCUAAUGGGAUUAUUACUACACUGUGCCUCAAAAAUCCUUAACAGUCUGAAGGAGUUAGUUCUUACCUCUUUUGACCCAAGUUUGCAAAUGCUAUUCUACUUAGGCAUUCAAUAUUCUACCUAUGACUGCCUGCAUCCUUAGCUGGAGAUUGGCCUAACAUGUGAAUACAUUGCUUUAGAACUGGUUUUUAGGUGAGGAUGAACUUCAAGAAGGCCGUACUGCUCGGUGAGAGCUGCUUGUUGGAUCUGUUGAGGGUGAGCGGGCUGAAGUGCAAUAUGAGUGCUAGCAGUCACCUCUUGCAAUGUGGCAAGUAAGAUAUAUUACCAGGUAAAUGGAGGGUGUCAGGAACUCAGUUCUGAAGUGCCUCGUCUCUGGCCGCAGAAGAGUAGUGUUCAUUGCUCCCUUUUUAUUUAAAUAAGUUUUUCUUCUUCCAUACUCUUUGGUGCAGGGUCUGGAUAACAGACUUCCCCAAAGGGGACCAGACUUUACAUUCUCUUGUAGCUACUAUCUUUUCUCUCUGAGACUUGUGCCUCACAGAGCCUGAGAGGACUGAUUCAGUGCCCCCUGAGGGGUUGGAAAUGAAGGCUAGGUGGGACCAUAUCCAUCCCACCAGGAAAGAAAGAUGACUUCUUGAAAAAUUUUCAAGAUAUUUUUUUUUAAUUUCAAAAUAGGCAGAGGCAGACAUGGCCCUUGCAUCUGUCUCAUUGAUGUGAUGUCUGGGAAAGCCGUGGCUAUGACUAUAAGCAGUGGUCCUACGAUGGAUGCCUCUGUUCUAGCUGUCACUACUGUGAUCAGCUGGUCUCUCAUGACACUUGACAGAUGCACAUGGCCUCUGUGCAUCAGUGAGUCGAUGGCCCUUUCAGAUGAAUCAGAUUGCUGUUCCUAGAUCUCCGUGUGUCAGAUGUGCACACACAGUCACUAUAAAUGCGCUUCUGUUGUGUUAUCCCUGAAGAAGAAUGCAGAAGCCACAAAGUGUAUUGUACCUUACAAGUAGAACCUAGUGUUUUUUCAUUUUAUUUUUGUUUCUUUUCCUUUUCACUUGAAAUGCUCACUUGUUGGGCAGAAAAAUAGUAGCAAGAAAAGUCAUGAAAUGCUUUUUCUACAUGGUUCUUUUAUAUUUCAGACAAUACUGGUGACGGUUACCUAAGCAGGAUGUGGUGAACUGCAGGCAGUUCAGUGUCUCCUGACUUGCAGCUCUCUUCAUAUGCACAUCACCUGGAGGGAGGCUCCUUGUUCUGCUCAGUGUAGGCAGUUUUCCCUUGAUUGCUUGCAGCAUGCUGUACUACAAGGGUUUUGUUCUUGUGGUACAGGCUGCUUUCUGCAUUAAAGUACACUCCUGCUAUUUUUAUGAAGCUAUUUAUUGUGUGUGAGGAUUUUGCAUGUAUUUAAUCAGAAUGUCAUAUAUGUUCUGUGUUCUGCUAGCUGUGUAGGUGGCUUGACUCCUAAGCCUCAUGUCCGUAGUAUUAAGUUAAAUUUGUAGAGCAUAAAUACAUGUGUGUGUAAGAGUGAUAACUAUGUUAUAAUAGUACAUUUAAAUUUUUUUCAUUGAUCUUAUUAUAAACCAAGAAAUGUAUUUCUCUGGAGAAAAAGUUCUCUCUUGGAUAGUAAAACCAUGCUGAAAUAUCUGAGUUACAUAAAUUGCUUUUAUAAUAAAAUAAAGUUAUUUUUAAUUAAAAGGU